GCUCUUGUCGUCUAAUGGUUAGGACAUCACUCUUUCAAGGUGACAAUGGGAGUUCAAUUCUCCCCAGGAGUU
rnacentral:tRNA from 1 species